rnacentral:rRNA from 1 species
GACGGGAACCCGCACAAGCGGUGGAGUAUGUUGUUUAAUUCGAAGAUACACGAAGAACCUUACCAGGUCUUGACAUACCAUUGACAGGUCUAGAGAUAGACUCUCCUUCGGGCAAUGGAUACAGGUGGUGCAUGGUUGUCGUCAGCUCGUGCCGUGAGGUGUUGGGUUAAGUCCCGCAACGAGCGCAACCCUCAUUGUUAGUUACUACCAUUCAGUUGAGGACUCUAAUGAGACUGCCAACGACAAGUUGGAGGAAGGUGGGGAUGACGUCAAAUCAUCAUGCCCUUUAUGACCUGGGCUACAAACGUACUACAAUGGCCAAUACAAAGAGAUGCGAAGCGGUGACGUGGAGCGAACCUCAGAAAGUUGGUCUCAGUUCAGAUUGAAGUCUGCAACUCGACUUCAUGAAGGCGGAAUCGCUAGUAAUCGCGGGUCAGCAGACCGCGGUGAAUACGUUCCCGGGUUUU